GAUGAACGCUGGCGGCGUGCCUAAUACAUGCAAGUCGAGCGAACAGACGAGGAGCUUGCUCCUCUGACGUUAGUGGCGGACGGGUGAGUAACACGUGGAUAACCUACCUAUAAGACUGGGAUAACUUCGGGAAACCGGAGCUAAUACCGGAUAAUAUAUUGAACCGCAUGGUUCAAUAGUGAAAGACGGUUUUGCUGUCACUUAUAGAUGGAUCCGCGCCGCAUUAGCUAGUUGGUAAGGUAACGGCUUACCAAGGCAGCGAUGCGUAGCCGACCUGAGAGGGUGAUCGGCCACACUGGAACUGAGACACGGUCCAGACUCCUACGGGAGGCAGCAGUAGGGAAUCUUCCGCAAUGGGCGAAAGCCUGACGGAGCAACGCCGCGUGAGUGAUGAAGGUCUUCGGAUCGUAAAACUCUGUUAUUAGGGAAGAACAAAUGUGUAAGUAACUAUGCACGUCUUGACGGUACCUAAUCAGAAAGCCACGGCUAACUACGUG
rnacentral:rRNA from 1 species